AUGGCUCUCCUUGUCCGUGCACCACCGCUUCUUCUCCACCUACAGCCUCCCCCCACCACCGCGCAAGCUUUCUUCGUCCGGCAACUCGCAACCACACCCCGCCGCCGUCCCCUCUCCGCCCGCGUGCGCGUGCGCGCCUCCAACUCCGACCCUCCGCAGCAGGUCAACCUCUCCGUCCUCCGCUUCACCCUCGGGAUCCCCGGGCUGGACGAGUCGUACCUCCCGCGGUGGAUAGGCCUCGGCUUCGGCGCCCUCGUCCUCCUCAACCACCUCCUCUCGCCGUCCCCAACCCCCGCGCAGCUCAGGUCGGAGGCUCUGGGGCUGUGCCUGGCCGCGUUCUCAGCGGCGCUGCCGUACCUCGGGCGCUUCCUAGAGGGUGCUGGUGCUUCCAGCCGUGUGCCGUUGCCUGAAGGAAGCAGGCAGGUGUUUGUGAUUCCUGAUGAUCUGUCAACGGCGCAGAAAGAGGAUAUGGCCUGGGCGACAUAUGUUCUGCUGCAGAACACAAACACCACAUCAGUGCUCAUAGCAAUUGACAAUGUGUUGUGCAUCCGAGGAUACUGGAAUCCUCCUGCAGAUAUUUCCAAAUAUGCAAUGAUUGAUUGGUUCAAGAGUCAGAUGGAACAAGCUGGACUUGACAAUUUGAGCAGUGCUUUGUACAUUCCUAAUUUUUCUGACACUCAGCUUGGGAAUAUUCUACCACAAGGAAUUCUUUCUGUGUUGGCACAACCAAUUUUGAGCAACCCUGAUCCAGCUAACGGUGAAUCAAAAGCUGAAGGUGUCGUCCUGUUGGCCUCCAAUGCAAAGUAUGCAUACAGUGAGAAAGAUAUGGUUUGGAUAAGCACAGUUGCAAAUAAAUUUCGACUUGCGUAA
rnacentral:rRNA from 1 species